GCGGAAGUAGCUCAUUGGCAGAGCAUUGCCUUGCCAAGGCAAUGGGAGAGGGUUCGAUUCCCUUCUUCCGCU
rnacentral:tRNA from 1 species